AGGGGCUCGAUGUCUUGCAGCAGUUGCCCCCUAAUAAAAGGAAUUCACCAUCUGCAGCUUUAAGAAGGAAACGGGAGCCUGCAGAUUGGAUGGAAGAAAUAGAUGAACCAUCGGUUAGAAGAACGUAAAAGGGAUUUUACCUCCAUUCUCCCACCAUUCCCUCAGGGCUUGGGGGGCAUAUUAAUUAUCGAAGCCCUCCAAGCAAGUGCGGUCUAUGGGGGGCAUAUUAAUUAUCGAAGCCCUCCAAGCAAGUGCGGUCUAUGGGGGGCAUAUUAAUUAUCGAAGCCCUCCAAGCAAGUGCGGUCUAUGUGUUAAGCGAUGCUAUUGCAAUGUGCGAAUCCGCAUGACAAAAAAGAUGAAGAGAAACUUUUGGCAGCCAUUUCUUCACUGCCAAGCAACCAUUUAUUCACAUCUCAGCCGCCAACCAUCUGUAAGUGUGACAAUAUAUCCGAUAUACUAGUGUAAUGCGUAUAGCGUCAUGUAUCAGGGUCCGUCACCCCACUCCUGUGGCAUCUUCAUCAACACGAUCUCCAUUCUCAUUUCCUUCCUCUUUGGGCUUCCAUGGAGUUCAUCCCAAGUUUGCAACCUCUCUUCUUAAAUAACUCUCUCACAACUGCAAUUGUGAUGGUAGCAUUUUAUCUCCCGUAGCCACUGUUUUUGUGAUGCUCAUCAGUUUCGAAGAAGAAGAAAAAGGUGGAACCAUCUAUCUUCCAUUAAUUCCUAAACCUGCAUAGGCUAUGGAUUUCUACAUCGAUCUCUCUCGUAAGCACAAAACUGUUAGGAGGUUCAUCCCCUCCUGUAACUAAAUCUACACCUCUACACCAUCAACUCUGCAAACGUCGAGUACAUCCUCGAGACAAACUUCGUCAACUUUGGCAAGAUAAACUGAGUGAAUUGUGGUCCAGGGCGGCUUUUAAGUAUGAUGUGAUGAGCAGCUUAUUGGGGGAUGGGAUCUUUGCAGUGGAUGGUCAGAAGUGGUGCCACCGGAUGCAGCAAGAUUUCAUGAGAUGAUCGAGAUCCAGGUGACGGAGACUAUAUUGAUUGUGCCACGAUCGCCAACUCCUGGAUGCCAUGUUUCUCUUCACGAUUUGUUCAUCGAGUCCAUGUUGGAUUCCAUAUUUAAAGUAGGCUUCGGGAUAAAACUAAAUACAUUAUCUGCAUAGAAUAAAGAAGGGAGAACCUUUUGCAGAGGCAUUCGAUGAUUCAAGUGCUCGAUUGCUAAGUCGGCACUUCGAUGUCUUGUGGAAAUUUAGAGGUUUCCGAAUAUUGGAGAAGAAGCCAAGAUGAAGAAGAACCCAAAAAUGAUGGAUGGUUUUGGGUAUAAAUUGAUCGAGCAACUAUGUAAACUAUCAAGUCAAAAUUGACCUUUUGUCAUCGUUCUUUAUGGCAGAUGGAGAAAGAAGACAUCUUGUCGAGAUUUCUAAUCGAAAGAGAGAAAAAUCCUACUGACAUGAGCUACAAGUACUCGAGAGACAUCAUGCUCAACCUUGUAGUUGCAUGCAGAGAUACCACAGCUGGAUCCUUUCAUGGUUCUAUGUAAGCAUCUCAAUGCACAAACAUAAAAAAGAGGAGCAAGGUGAGAGAAGCUAACCAUCGACGAAUUUGUCGCGAGCCUAACCGAGGAAGCCCUCAACGAGAUGCAGUACCUCCACGCAUCUCUAUCCGACACUCUCUGGUUGUACCCUGCAAGAACUAUCUCAAGCUAAUACGCUGAUUGAUCCUAUAAGCACACCAAAAGCCUGCAUUUUGCUGCUCGUGGUACUGUCGGCUGACCCUCAGAUUUGUCUCGGAAGGAAGUUGACACACAAGCAGAUGAAGAUCUUUGCUGAUACACUCCUACUCUUCAAUUUUGAUGGAAGAGACCCAUCUUUCUGUCAUGCAUAGGUAUAGCUGAGCUGCUCGAGCACAAUACAGUUUAUCUAACCAUGUUUUCUGUCGUUAAUGCAGCCUGAAUUGAAUGCGAGUAAUUCAAGAAAUUAAAAGUGAGGAACAAUCAGAUGUAGAAAUUUCAUUUUUCUGUUCAUGAUUUACAUGGUACAGGGGUCCACAGCACCAUACCAUACCUCACCUUUAAGGAAAAAAACAUGAAUCUCCUCUGCAUCCAUGGAGAACAAGGACUAUAAGCUUUCACUCAGGACAAAAAGCUUUGAAACCCACCAAAGCAAGUCCAAUCUUGAAAUCAACUGAUAGUUGCUAAUGGUACAGCUCGUUUAGGGGACAAUAAGAUCCAUACACUGAAACAAUUUAUACUACAAUUUCAAUCUAGAAUUUCAUUAUAGGGUUAGCUAAGGUCCAGCUUCACUUUGAUAAGAGAUCUGAUGUAUUUGCUUGAUACCACUUCUGUUCCCUCUUGGCC
rnacentral:lncRNA from 1 species